AUUGAACGCUGGCGGCAGGCCUAACACAUGCAAGUCGAACGAAGUCUUCGGACUUAGUGGCGGACGGGUGAGUAACACGUGGGAACGUGCCCUUUGGUACGGAAUAACUCAGGGAAACUUGAGCUAAUACCGUAUGUGCCCUUCGGGGGAAAGAUUUAUCGCCAUUGGAGCGGCCCGCGUCUGAUUAGCUAGUUGGUGAGGUAAAGGCUCACCAAGGCGACGAUCAGUAGCUGGUCUGAGAGGAUGAUCAGCCACAUUGGGACUGAGACACGGCCCAAACUCCUACGGGAGGCAGCAGUGGGGAAUCUUGCGCAAUGGGCGAAAGCCUGACGCAGCCAUGCCGCGUGAAUGAUGAAGGUCUUAGGAUUGUAAAAUUCUUUCACCGGGGACGAUAAUGACGGUACCCGGACAAGAAGCCCCGGCUAACUUCGUGCCAGCCGCCGCAGUAAAAC
rnacentral:rRNA from 1 species